rnacentral:rRNA from 1 species
AUUGAACGCUGGCGGCAUGCUUUACACAUGCAAGCCGAACGGUAACAGGCCGCAAGGUGCUGACGAGUGGCGAACGGGUGAGUAAUGCAUCGGAACGUGCCCAGUCGUGGGGGAUAACUACUCGAAAGAGUAGCUAAUACCGCAUACGAUCUAUGGAUGAAAGCGGGGGACCGUAAGGCCUCGCGCGAUUGGAGCGGCCGAUGUCGGAUUAGGUAGUUGGUGGGGUAAAGGCUCACCAAGCCAACGAUCUGUAGCUGGUCUGAGAGGACGACCAGCCACACUGGGACUGAGACACGGCCCAGACUCCUACGGGAGGCAGCAGUGGGGAAUUUUGGACAAUGGGCGCAAGCCUGAUCCAGCAAUGCCGCGUGCAGGAAGAAGGCCUUCGGGUUGUAAACUGCUUUUGUACGGAACGAAACGGCUCUGGUUAAUACCCGGGGCUAAUGACGGUACCGUAAGAAUAAGCACCGGCUAACUACGUG